rnacentral:rRNA from 1 species
UACGAAGGAUCCAAGCGUUAUCCGGAUUUAUUGGGUUUAAAGGGUGCGUAGGCGGCCUAUUAAGUCAGUGGUGAAAGCCUGAUGCUUAACAUCAGAACUGCCAUUGAUACUGAUGGGCUUGAGUACAGUUGAGGUGGGCGGAAUGUGUCAUGUAGCGGUGAAAUGCUUAGAUAUGACACAGAACACCGAUUGCGAAGGCAGCUCGCUAAGCUGUAACUGACGCUGAGGCACUAAAGCGUGGGGAGCAAACAGG